rnacentral:rRNA from 1 species
AUUGAACGCUGGCGGCAGGCCUAACACAUGCAAGUCGAGCGAGCGGCGGACGGGUGAGUAAUGUCUGGGAAACUGCCUGAUGGAGGGGGAUAACUACUGGAAACGGUAGCUAAUACCGCAUACCAUCAGAUGUGCCCUGAUGGUAUGAGCUAGUAGGUUGGGUAACGGCUCACGUAGGCGACGAUCCCUAGCUGGUCCGAGAGGAUGACCAGCCACACCGGAACUGAGACACGGUCCAGAAUCCUACGAGAGGCAGCAGUGGGGAAUAUUGCACAAUGGGCGCAAGCCUGACGCAGCCAUGCCGCGUGUGUGAAGAAGGCCUUAGGGUUGUAAAGCGCUUUCAGCGGGGAGGCGUUACCCGCAUAAGAAGCACCAGCUAACUCCGUGCCAGCAGCCGCGGUAAUUC